GAUGAACGCUGGCGGCGUGCUUAACACAUGCCAGUCGAACGAAGCACUUUAUUUGAUUUCCUUCGGGACUGAUUAUUUUGUGACUGAGUGGCGGACGGGUGAGUAACGCGUGGGUAACCUGCCUUGUACAGGGGGAUAACAGUUGGAAACGGCUGCUAAUACCGCAUAAGCGCACAGCAUCGCAUGAUGCAGUGUGAAAAACUCCGGUGGUAUAAGAUGGACCCGCGUUGGAUUAGCUAGUUGGUGAGGUAACGGCCCACCAAGGCGACGAUCCAUAGCCGACCUGAUAGGGUGACCGGCCACAUUGGGACUGAGACACGGCCCAAACUCCUACGGGAGGCAGCAGUGGGGAAUAUUGCACAAUGGGCGAAAGCCUGAUGCAGCGACGCCGCGUGAGCGAAGAAGUAUUUCGGUAUGUAAAGCUCUAUCAGCAGGGAAGAUAAUGACGUUACCUGACUAAGAAGCACCGGCUAAAUACGU
rnacentral:rRNA from 1 species